GUCUGACUGACAGUUUUACCUUCCUGAUGAUAUCUUGCAGACAUACCCCAAUCCAUUACAAGACAAUCCUUCCUAUUCAGUUGUUAAGCAGUAUUUCGUUAAUGCGGAUGAUACCGUUGCCCAAAAGAUUGUUGUUCAUAAGGAUAGCCCAAGAGGGACACACUUUCGGCGCUCUGGACCACGUCAGAAGGUAUAUUUCGAAUCAGAUGAAGUGCAUGCAUGUAUUGUGACA